rnacentral:rRNA from 1 species
UACGUAGGCAGCGAGCGUUGUUCGGAGUUACUGGGCGUAAAGCGUGCGUAGGCGGUGUCUUAAGUUUGUUGUGAAAUCUCCCGGCUUAACCGGGAGGGUGCGGCGAAUACUGAGAUGCUGGAGUACGGGAGAGGUAAGCGGAAUUCCUGGUGUAGCGGUGAAAUGCGUAGAUAUCAGGAGGAACACCUGCGGUGUAGACGGCUUACUGGACCGUAACUGACGCUGAGGCACGAAAGCGUGGGUAGCAAACAGG